rnacentral:rRNA from 1 species
AUUGAACGCUGGCGGCAGGCCUAACACAUGCAAGUCGAGCGAGCGGCGGACGGGUGAGUAAUGUAUGGGGAUCUGCGCGAUAGAGGGGGAUAACUCCUGGAAACGGUGGCUAAUACCGCAUACUAUCGGAUGCACCCAUAUGGGAUUAGCUAGUAGGUGGGGUAAAGGCUCACCUAGGCGACGAUCUCUAGCUGGUCUGAGAGGAUGAGCAGCCAGACUGGGACUGAGACACGGCCCAGACUCCUACGGGAGGCAGCAGUGGGGAAUAUUGCACAAGGGGCGCAAGCCUGAUGCAGCCAUGCCGAGUGUAUGAAGAAGGCCUUAGGGUUGUAAAGUACUUUCAGCGGGGAGGCGUUACCCGAAGAAGAAGCACCGGCUAACUCCGUGCCAGCAGCCGCGGUAAUAC